rnacentral:rRNA from 1 species
AUUGAACGCUGGCGGCAUGCCUUACACAUGCAAGUCGAACGGCAGCACGGGAGCAAUCCUGGUGGCGAGUGGCGAACGGGUGAGUAAUAUAUCGGAACGUGCCCAGUCGUGGGGGAUAACGUAGCGAAAGCUACGCUAAUACCGCAUACGAUCUAUGGAUGAAAGCGGGGGAUCGCAAGACCUCGCGCGAUUGGAGCGGCCGAUAUCAGAUUAGGUAGUUGGUGAGGUAAAGGCUCACCAAGCCGACGAUCUGUAGCUGGUCUGAGAGGACGACCAGCCACACUGGGACUGAGACACGGCCCAGACUCCUACGGGAGGCAGCAGUGGGGAAUUUUGGACAAUGGGCGCAAGCCUGAUCCAGCAAUGCCGCGUGCAGGAUGAAGGCCUCGGUUGUAACGUAG